UGUACGGCUAGGUUCCCCCUUUUUUCCGGUUCAAGGGGGAACCGGGAAAAGCCGGUAAGU
rnacentral:tRNA from 1 species